AAAACAUAAAAGUCACUCAUUUCACUUUACUAUUGGACUCAUCAAAGUGCGGGAAUGGUCAUGCACUCAAACUUGUAGAUCUAUGGGAUCCUCAUAGAGUUCCAAUGGUAGGUUAGCCUGCGAUUCCUCACUUUCUUCUUUAUAUGGGGGGGAGCAUGGAAAGAAUGAGUUCCAUAUGCUCAGUAAAAAAAAAACAAUAUUAAAUUAACAUCAUAAGAUUUCAAAAUUUAAUUAUUUUGACUUAAGAGCUUACCAUUUAACUUCUUCGUUUACUUAUCUCACAUUAUAAAAAUAAUUUAUUUAUUAAGAAAAUAAUACAUUAAUACAGAUAACCAAACAUAUAUCAUGCCAGAUAAUAGAGAAAAUCAAGUAAAUUAUUAAAUGCUUAGAUUUUCGUGUCAUGCUUUACGAAAUCGUUACAACUUUCAUAUGUGAUGAUAGAUACAGAUUUCUAAUUACCCAAGUGAAAUGAUUAGAUUAGAUAUAGAUACGAAAAUUUGCUCAUACCCAUUUUCGGCUAGCCCAAACCAUGAUAUGAUCUACGACCACGACGUACCAACCACAGUGGUUUUAACAGAUAUCUAUAGUCAUGACAUUAUUUAGUUACGAGUGACCCCUACAGAUAAUGCGAUACCACUCUCGUCAGAGGGUACACGACAUCCACUAGGAGUGGUCCUCUUAUGUCUUUUUAGAUCAGAUAGAGAAGGAAGAAACAGAUAUCCUGAAAGGCAAGGGGAACAGAUACCUCUCAGAGAUAAAAAAAUUAACGAGACAGUUGAUGCAAUAUGCAUGUCAAUACAGAUACACUUCGGACCAUACAGGUUUUAUUUCACUUUUUUCAUUUUUUUUUCUUUUGUAUUUUUUUUACCAAACAAUUAUACCGGUUUAUUACAUUCAAUUUAUCAAGUGUCUUUAAUACACAUAGUAUGCUUGAAAACAAGAACAAUUCGACUCAUCUAAACAGAAAGGCACACAAAAUAGACAAAAUCACAAUCAUAUUAAAUUAGUUUAUUUAAAAAAAUACUUCUUAAGACGUUGAAAGAAAUACCAAAUGCCUUACUGAAAUAUUGAUAUUUUCUUCUUCACCGUUAUCUUUUCUUUUUCUUCUUCUCUCACUAGACUAUUAUCUCUUUCUCUCUCUAUCUAAAUCUUGAAAAAUAGAAGAAUAGAAGUAUGGGGAGAAAUGGAAGGAAAAUGACAAUUUAUAAAAUUUUAGAACCUGUUGGAUUCACAUCAAGUUGUGAAUUCUUGUGAAGAGAGAGGAGAAAAAAUGCUCGAUACGAAAA
rnacentral:lncRNA from 1 species